ACCUACCUCCCUCCUCUGUUUUUACAUUUUCAUCAAUAGGUUUUCCAGUAGAGAAAUGAUGGUGCUGUGCCCACAGGUGGGAUGGAGACCAGGCCGCUCACUUUUGUUCUGAGCAAGUGCAAAUCAUAUUUUCAGCACUUCACAAUACAAUCAAUGAGCUAGGAAACAAAGCAUUAGCAUGGCAGCAGCGCACCGUCACUAGCAACAUAAUUGAGUUUCGGUGACAAACGGAUAUGUAUCAUUUGCCUUGGGACCUAUUGUUCUCUCAGCUCUUUAUUUUGUUGGGCCUGAGCUUUCAGAGGAGGUAGUCAACAGUAGAGCACAUGUGGGCGUCUCCUCAAUGAUGUCCAGGGCUUCGAGAGGGAAGCAGAACAAGGGAAAUUGAAUGGUGUUUUCUUGCAAAUGAUGCACAGCUGCUCUGGCAAUAUUACCUAAGAAGAGGCCAUAAAAGAGAUCAGAGCUGUCAUUGAGAGUAAUAGGACGAAACUCUUAGAAUUAGUAUUGAAGACAGAGGGAAGUGUAGUUCCAAGAGAAUGCAAGGAUGUGUUUUGGAAGAUGAGCAAAAUACUCCACCUCUUCUAUAUGAGAAAUGAUGGGUUCACAUCUCCAAAGGAAGUGGUCAAUUAUGUAAAUGCAGUCAUUUAUGAACCAAUCAAUAUCUUCAAAGGAAAUGGUCAAUUAUGUAAAUGCAGUCAUUUAUGAACCAAUCAAUCUGAUAUAGCUAAUAAAGGAUGAAAAAUAUCAGCAUUAGUAUAUGUGGGGCCUUCUAUCUUGUAUUUAGCACAAAUACUAAGGCAUUGAGUGGUUAGUGGAUAUUUUUCUUUCUCCUAAUCAACAGCAACUUUAUUGAUCAAAUUUUGGAAUAAAAUUGAGAUUUAUCUUAUGGUUAA